GUUUGGGGUUCUCAUCCCAAGUCUUGGUUACUUUAGGCUUUAGUCUUCACUGCACAGAGGAUGAUGAGAACAGGAGUUAGAAGCUGGUCAAGAUGAGCAAGGAUCCCAGAGCAGCAUUCCCAAGACAUCAGAAGAGUCUGGCUCCUGCUUCUUGGUUAUGCCCUACAGAUGAGCACUUCUGAAUACCCACCUAUGUGAAUGAGACUGAGAGGAGGCUCCCGGACACCUGGUUGGGCAGCUGGGUUGGACAGCUCACCUGCUACCCAUACUUCACCACUUUUUAAAAAAAGCCCCAUUGCAACAGCUCAAGCUUAUUUUCUGGAACCCUUCUUGCUCUCUUUCUCAUUCAAGCUACUACCUAUGAAUCAACGAUAAGCAUCUCUCUAGAACUCACCCUCUGUUCAUUUCACUCUCAAAGACACCGCAGCAAGGUCUACACCUUUACUCCCAACACUGGAGAGGCAAGAGAAGGAAGAUCCCUGUGAGUUCAAGACCAUUCCAAUAUCUAUGAAGAGUCUAGCCUAUUAUGGGAUACAUGGAGUGAAACACUCCAGAGAUACCUGAAUAAGUCAAAUGGUGUCAUCUAUUUUACCUCCAGAAGGACUGUCCCAACCAGAGCAGCGGGAAGCAGUCUUGACUUCUAGUUUCUUUUUAAAGUCAAGGACCAAAACAAUUGUGACAUAUACAGAAAGGCAGAUGUGGACAUCUGUGGCAAGCAAGUGUUGUUGACAGAAGCAG
rnacentral:lncRNA from 1 species